GUUUCCGUAGUGUAGUGGUUAUCACGUUUGCCUUACACGCAAAAGGUCCCAUGUUCGAAACUGGGUGGAAACA
rfam:Danio rerio chromosome 8, GRCz11 reference primary assembly.